AAACUCAGCCGCUGCUUGAGCAGCAGAGGUAGCAUCCUUAAAUUUCAUGUUCAUAUUAUGUCUGCCAACAGAAAAAUUACCAUUACCAUCUCCAGGAAAUGAUUGCCCAUGUUCCAACCUUUCAUCCUUGAAACUUUAGUGGCAUGAACCACCAUCAUCAAUAGAAUAUUGCCUUGAAAGUUCUACAACAGCUCUGGCAGCUAGGCAUGAAUGUUCUGUAAACUCAGCCCCUGCUUGAGCAGCAGAGGUAGCAUCCUUAAAUUUCAUGUUCCAAUUCUGCCUGCCAACCAAAAAAUUACCAUUACCAUAUUGAGGAAAUGAUUACCCAUGUUCCAACCUUUCAUCCUUGAAACCCAAGUGGCAUGAACCACCAUCAUCAACACAAUAUUGCCUUGAAAGUUCUACAACAGCUCUGGCAGCUGGGCUUGAAUGUUCUGCAAACACACCCGCUGCUUGAGCAGCAGAGGUAGCAUCCUUAAAUUUCAUGUAUCAAUUCUGCCUGCCAACAGAAAUAUUACCAUUAUCGUCUCCAGGAAAUGAUUGCCCAUGUUCCAGCCUUUCAUCCUUGAAACCUAAGUGCCAUGUACCACCAUCAUCAACACAAUAUUGCCUUGAAAGUUCUACAAAAGCUCUGGCGGCUAGGCUUGCAUGUUCUGCAAACUCAGCCGCUGCUUAAGCAGCAGAGGUAGCAUCCUUAAAUUUCAUGUUCCAAUUCUGCCUGCCAACAGAAAAAUUACCAUUACCAUCUCUAGGAAAAGAUUGCCCAUGUUCCAACCUUUCAUCCUUGAAACCUAAGUGGCAUGAACCACCAUCAUCAACUCAAUAUUGCCUUGAAAGUUCUACAACAACUCUGGCAGCUAGGCUUGAAUGUUAUGCAAAUUCAAACGCUGCUU
rnacentral:lncRNA from 1 species